rnacentral:rRNA from 1 species
GUGCCAGCCGCCGCGGUAAUACGUAGGUGGCAAGCGUUGUCCGGAUUUAUUGGGCGUAAAGCGAGCGCAGGCGGUUUCUUAAGUCUGAUGUGAAAGCCUUCGGCUCAACCGAAGAAGUGCAUCGGAAACUGGGAAACUUGAGUGCAGAAGAGGACAGUGGAACUCCAUGUGUAGCGGUGAAAUGCGUAGAUAUAUGGAAGAACACCAGUGGCGAAGGCGGCUGUCUGGUCUGUAACUGACGCUGAGGCUCGAAAGCAUGGGUAGCAAACAGGAUUAGAUACCCUGGUAGUCCAUGCCGUAAACGAUGAGUGCUAGGUGUUGGAGGGUUUCCGCCCUUCAGUGCCGCAGCUAACGCAUUAAGCACUCCGCCUGGGGAGUACGACCGCAAGGUUGAAACUCAAAGGAAUUGACGGGGGCCCGCACAAGCGGUGGAGCAUGUGGUUUAAUUCGAAGCAACGCGAAGAACCUUACAGGUCUUGACAUCCUUUGACCACUCUAGAGAUAAGCUUUCCCUUCGGGGACAAAGUGACAGGUGGUGCAUGGUUGUCGUCAGCUCGUGUCGUGAGAUGUUGGGUUAAGUCCCGCAACGAGCGCAACCCUUAUUACUAGUUGCCAGCAUUUAGUUGGGCACUCUAGUGAGACUGCCGGUGACAAACCGGAGGAAGGUGGGGACGACGUCAAAUCAUCAUGCCCCUUAUGACCUGGGCUACACACGUGCUACAAUGGAUGGUACAACGAGUUGCGAGACCGCGAGGUUUAGCUAAUCUCUUAAAACCAUUCUCAGUUCGGAUUGUAGGCUGCAACUCGCCUACAUGAAGCCGGAAUCGCUAGUAAUCGCGGAUCAGCAUGCCGCGGUGAAUACGUUCCCGGGCCUUGUACACACCGCCCGU